GCUUGUCUCAAAGAUUAAGCCAUGCAUGUCUAAGUAUAAGCAAUUAUACCGCGAAACUGCGAAUGGCUCAUUAUAUAAGUUAUCGUUUAUUUGAUAAUACUUUACUACUUGGAUAACCGUGGUAAUUCUAGAGCUAAUACAUGCUAAAAAUCCCGACUUCGGAAGGGUUGUAUUUAUUAGAUUAAAAACCAAUGCCCCUCGGGGCUCUCUGGUGAAUCAUGAUAACUAGUCGAAUCGACAGGCCUUGUGCCGGCGAUGGCUCAUUCAAAUUUCUUCCCUAUCAACUUUCGAUGUUUGGGUAUUGUCCAAACAUGGUGGCAACGGGUAACGGAGGGUUAGGGCUCGACCCCGGAGGAGGAGCCUGAGAAACGGCUACUACAUCCAAGGAAGGCAGCAGGCGCGCAAAUUACCCAAUCCCGACACGGGGAGGUAGUGACAAUAAAUACUGAUACGGGGCUCUUUUGGGUCUCGUAAUUGGAAUGAGAACAAUUUAAAUCCCUUAACGAGGAACAAUUGGAGG
rnacentral:rRNA from 2 species